GCGGCCCCCUGGACAAGACUGACGCUCAGGUGCGAAAGCGUGGGAGCAAACAGGAUUAGAUACCUGGUAGUCCACGCUGUAAACGAUGUCGAUUUGGAGGUUGUUCCCUUGAGGAGUGGCUUCCGGAGCUAACGCGUUAAAUCGACCGCUGGGGAGUACGGCCGCAAGGUUAAAACUCAAAUGAAUUGACGGGGGCCCGCACAAGCGGUGGAGCAUGUGGUUUAAUUCGAUGCAACGCGAAGAACCUUACCUACUCUUGACAUCCAGAGAAUUUAGCAGAGAUGCUUUAGUGCCUUCGGGAACUCUGAGACAGGUGCUGCAUGGCUGUCGUCAGCUCGUGUUGUGAAAUGUUGGGUUAAGUCCCGCAACGAGCGCAACCCUUAUCCUUUGUUGCCAGCACGUUAUGGUGGGAACUCAAAGGAGACUGCCGGUGAUAAACCGGAGGAAGGUGGGGAUGACGUCAAGUCAUCAUGGCCCUUACGAGUAGGGCUACACACGUGCUACAAUGGCGUAUACAAAGAGAAGCGACCUCGCGAGAGCAAGCGGAACUCAUAAAGUACGUCGUAGUCCGGAUUGGAGUCUGCAACUCGACUCCAUGAAGUCGGAAUCGCUAGUAAUCGUAGAUCAGAAUGCUACGGUGAAUACGUUCCCGGGCCUUGUACACACCGCCCGUCACACCAUGGGAGUGGGUUGCAAAAGAAGUAGGUAGCUUAACCUUCGGGAGGGCGCUUACCACUUUGUGAUUCAUGACUGGGGUGAAGUCGUAACAAGGUAACCA
rnacentral:rRNA from 1 species